AUUCUGUUUCCAGUAUCAUUUGUCCUUUGGCCUUUAUAUCUGACCUUGCUACUUUUGACUGCUGAACGAAAGUUGAACCUUCACAUUUCAGGGCACUGGAAUCCAGAAAAAUUUUAUUCUUGCUGCUGCUUCAAUGAUGCCAAUGCUUCGGAAAGUGUCUCUUGAUGUGUGCGAUGCAAGUGAAGGUGACUUUGAAAUUCCAAAUUUUGCUGACAGGUACUUCUUGAGCAUUGUUAAAAUAGCAAGAUGCAAGCUUCAAAGAUGCGGUUUAGACCUUCAAAAGUUUUGCAGAACACCAGUGCACAAGGAGACCUUGGUACUAGUACGGGACAGCAAAAAUCUCACUAGAAAAGAAAUCAAAGAA